rnacentral:lncRNA from 1 species
GGUCCUGUAAUAAAGAGGGAUCCGAACAAGCUCAGAAUGAAAAUGAAUUUCAAUUUCCACUGUAGGAGGCGCCGAGGAGACUGCUCCCAGCCUACAGGGGAGAGGACUACAGCAGAGGACAGACACCUUGAGGGCCUUCGCUUGAGCUCCCCUGAGAGUCUCUGCAGUAUCGGUCUUCAGGGGGCUGAAGCAAUGGUUCUGGAGAGUGUUAUGUUUGCCAUUCUUGCAGAGAGGUCACUUGGGCCAAAACUCUAUGGCAUCUUUCCGCAAGGCCGACUGGAGCAGUUUAUCCCGAGCCGGCGAUUGGACACUGAAGAAUUAUGUUUACCAGAUAUUUCUGCAGAAAUAGCUGAAAAAAUGGCCACAUUUCAUGGUAUGAAAAUGCCAUUCAAUAAGGAACCAAAAUGGCUUUUUGGAACAAUGGAAAAAUACCUGAAUCAAGUACUAAGACUUAAAUUCAGCAGGGAGGCCAGAGUUCAACAACUGCACAAGUUCCUCUCUUACAAUCUGCCUCUCGAGCUUGAGAACCUGAGGUCAUUGCUGCAGUAUACUAGAUCCCCAGUUGUGUUUUGUCAUAAUGACUGUCAAGAAGGUAAUAUCUUAUUGUUGGAAGGCCAAGAGAAUUCUGAAAAGCAGAAGUUGAUGCUCAUUGACUUUGAAUACAGCAGUUACAAUUACAG